ensembl:lncRNA novel transcript
UUGCCAGGAGCUCCGUUGGCGCUGCAACCAUCUUGACUUGGAAUCAACCACCCUAUAGGCCACGCUGUAGCCUUAGAUACUCUAACUCGUGAAAUUUUCAUCGACCGUCGUCCAUAGGGCAAGGCACGCUUCUGCCCUCUGUGGGACAGAGUUGUCGAUGAUUAUAGGUGCGGAUACCCGCUUCAGCCUGUGUUAAUCGGGGAUGCAGCCCCCCACCCUUCCUGCCGUGGUUCUACCCAGCCUGCUGCGGACGCCUGAGCCAGGUGCGUCACCCCCACCUGGGCUGACCAGGCCAGGACUUCGUCGUCCGCGGGACGCUGGGGGGCGCCUGCCGACUGGCACCGGCGGCUAGCUCCGCACGAAUGGGAAAUCCCGGGCUCCGCUCGCCAACCUGUUACUGCUGCAGAACGCCAGGAAGCUCAGCCUGAUCCCACAGAUUAGGGUAAAAUAUCCCGGGGGGCCGAAGUGGAAACCGGAGUUGCGUCAUUGCUCCCACCCGAUAUCACCUUGGCAGCGACCGCGGCUGACCACGUUCCCGGCCUGUCGCGAAUCUCACCCAAGGGAGCUGAGUCUCAGCUUCCCUGGUCCCUGGUCCCGAGUUCCGCCUUCCCCCCCCGCCCCGUGGCAUCGGCGUGAGGGGAAAAGAUAAAGACUACCUCCUGAGACCUGGAAUUGUGGAUGGCUGCGGAAAACUCACCACAGGAAAUUUUGGCUUAAAGUUAUUCUCUGCUUCCCUUGACUGUGUGAUAGGCACCGCUCUAUCUGCUAGAGGACAGGUGAAAAAGAUGGGGUUCCCUCUUCUUAGAACUCACUGUGCAGUGGGAGAAUGUAUAAAUAAAUAGUAAUUACAACAUAAUCUUCUGGAAUAGAAAUGCUCACAAAAUCAUCCAGCAGUCGAUGACCUCCUUUAGCCAGGGAAGAUAUUGCUAUUCGCCUCUUACAGAGGAGGAAACCAUGGCUCAGAGGGACAAGGUGAAAGGGUGGGAAAUUGAGGCAUAGAAAGUUUAAGUGAUAUGCCCAACAUGACUCAGCUAAUCAAUGAAGGACUAGUGCUAGAGCCCAGCAAAUCUGCUGGUGCAAUGGUCUCUGAACCAUUUCUGAGACAGCUAUGCUGGACUACAUCAUAACCAGCCCCUCACAACUCAAUAAUAGGGUUAAAAGAAAUAGACUGAGAUUAAAUAGAAGGAAGAACCUUCCAACAGUGAAGUUUGUUAAGCACUGCAACAGUUCAUUAUGGAGGUAUCAUGGCAACUUUCUGGGAAGACUUAAACAAAAGACAGAAGAGAGGCAUAGCGUUUGAUUGAACUUGGGAAUGGACCAUUUAUUCUGAGAAACAGAUGAAGUGCCCCUUUAGAGGUCCUGCCAGUCUGAUGGAUGGAUUCUCUACCUGUAAUGAAAGUAAUAGGAAGGAUCCCCUUGCCCAAAGCAUCGUGGGAAAGCUAGCGGUGAUUCUUGUGGGAAGAAAAGCAUAAGAGGAAAUUUCCAACCACCAAUACCUUGGGACAUUCUCUGCAAGUCCCAUGAGCCUCUGAAAGAGGUUGAACACUCAGAAGUCACUUUUGUGGUGCUUGACUGGCCUGACAUCUUGCAAAUAAACCUUAUCAAAAGAUGGUGGAAGAUGCGUACUAAGUAUUCCGUAGUAACUGAGAGUUAGUCUUUUUUCACAGCCUUUGUUGGAGGAGAGGUACUUGUAAUUCACAUGUGUAAACUGCUUUAUAAUUUAAAAAUUCUUUGGAAUAUCUUA